CCAAACUACAGCAAGGACUGGGGAGUUGACGUAUUUGUUAAUUUAAUGGUCACCGUGAUAUGUUCGAUUUAUAUUCUAUUUAAUUUCUACUUAUUCGGAUUUGAAAACCCGGACAAAUCAUAUUAGACAUUCGAGAGCGGACGAAGAAGGCAAAGAACAUGCAGCUGUUCAGAGUUCCUAUUUUCUUACCUUUAAUGGUUUUAACAUGCUGGGCAGUUCUAGAUGGCGUCUAUGGA